rnacentral:misc_RNA from 1 species
UCACCCAUCAAGCCCGGCUUGGUAUUAGGGCGCGCAGCACAGCGGCUCUUAAACAUAUAAGCGGCGCCGGUGGGCUCCAAGCGUAGUAGAAUUUCUCGCUAUGGGGUUCCCUCCCGGAGGCUUGCUGAAACCCCCAACCUCCUAU